rnacentral:lncRNA from 1 species
ACUUAUUGGCUUUCACCCUUGACUUGGCCUUGAAGUUUUGGAAUUUCUAGCUCUCAAGUUUUUUCAGGAGAGCUUUAGAAACAACUUGUCAAGUUUUCACCACAAAUACCAUUGGAGUUACAAUUGGAGUCUCACUGAAUUAUAGAGUAAUUUUUGGAGAGCUAUCAUCUUUAUAAUCUUCUCAUACAUGAAUGUGGAGUUGCUGGUAGAAGACUUCAUGAAGGAGAGAAGAAAAGGAAAAAAUCAGAGGAUGACUACAGCCUCCUUCAUCUCAGCUUUUCAAAGCAUUACUCAACAGAGGGAUCACUCUCUUGAAUACUCUCCAGACCACAGGCCAUCAGUCUAUUACAGGCUCUAACUGGGAGGAGCCUUAUUGUGAAUGAAGCUUCGGUGGGUGCUAGGAGUAACACCGUGUUUCUCUGGAUAUGAGAAGAAUGGAGGGCAGAGAGCAAGGGAAGGAAGCUAUGAAAUAUUGGAGUAACAAAUGCUUGACGUUUUAGUGGGUAUUGGACCUAGAAGCCUAUAUGAUUGAAGGAAGCAAACCUGGAGAGGUCUGAUGUUUGUGAGUGAAGAUAGGAGUGAACUCCUUAUUGCAAUUAAAAAUGGAGUGAGGGGGAGGAAAAAAAUGACAGAAAUCAUAAGAUCCAUUACUUCAGUGAAGGAAGCACUGAGACUUGCUUCAUAAACCUGUAAUUUUUAAAGGUAGAUUGAAGAUAAGUUGUUGUGCUGCACUAUUUCUAUUCCUACCCGUGAGAGUUACUGCCAGCCACUCUUCUCAGGUAGAUCUGCCUUUAUGGAAAUUUCUGUUGACCCACGUAAAGAAACAACCCAGAAAAACAUUUGCAACAUUGAAGAACUCUGGUUCAGUGACAGGGUGUUAAAGGAGUCGAGGAUAGAGGAAAUAGCUCAAGUAGUACCAAAUAGCUCAGGUUGUUUUUUUUUUUUUCUUUUUAAUAGGAUGAUUGGGCCAGAGACAGUGGGCAGAAUGACUUCAGGCAACCCCAAACACCAGAUAUGGCAUAAGGAAACAGUUCAAGGAAAAGGUCAAUCCUUGGACCUAGUAUUUGUGAUGCAAUAUCUUAAAUUAAAAGGAAGAGCUGCUUUGGAGAAGGGUUUUAAAAGAUUGUAUUUCAUAGAAAGAAGAAAGAUUUGAGGAGAAACUUCCAAUUAUAUAAGAUGGGCAUUAUAACUAUUAAAGACAUCUGUUGCCUGCAUGGGUCAUAGAGAUUGAUACCAGUAUCAGCCUGUGGCUGACUAGGCCAGUUUAAGUGGUUUCCUGUUCGAAGAGAGAUGCUGCCAUUCUCUCACUUUGGCAGGUAUUCACCUGCAAUGAGUCCAGUACCUGGAGGAGCAAGAAAAAAACAAGCAUCCAGGGGGACAAUAGUAUAGCCUUCUGAGUUAAGAUAGCAACUGAAAAGAUCAUGGGAUUGGCUGCACUGGGCUGGGCUUGUUUGUUUUUUCAAAAUAAAAAAGUUUUCUUUUUGAUGACAAAAGUAAGAGAUGAUCAUUCUUUAAAAAUAAAGUGAAA